rnacentral:lncRNA from 1 species
AUGGCUGCCACUGCCUUUGCCAGUGCAGUGAGAGCAGCUUCAGGAAUCUUAUAGCCCCUGAAUAUUUUGGCAUCUUCAGCCUACCAAAACUGUGUGUCAAGAAUGCCUCUCUUAUUUCUGCAUUGUCCACUGGACGUUUUAGUCAUAUUCAGACACCAGUUGUUUCCUCUGCUCCCAGACUUACCACAUCUGUCAGAAACCUGACAUGUGGGCAUCCUGCGGUAAUCUUUAAUAGAGUGGCCCCCUUGCUUCCAAGUGUCCUGAAGCUGCCAGUCAGAUCUCUAACAUUCAUUUGUACACAAAAAGGCAAGAGAAAGACUGUGAAAGCUGUCAUCUAUAGGUUUCUUUGACUUCAUUCUGGCCUUUGGUUGACGAGAAAGGCUGGUUAUAAGAAAAAAUUACGGAAAAAGACACUUGCAAGAAAAAAGCAAUUGAGGGAAUCUGUGUUCUGCAGUAAAACCCAGAGUGAACUCUUAGAUAAAAUGAUGAUGUCCUUCUGGAAGAGGUGAAAAACUGAUAUGACGAUGAUUCUUAUCAGAAGUUAUCAUGAUCGAACAAACCUGAAAGUAUAG